rnacentral:rRNA from 1 species
GGUUAAGCGACUAAGCGUACACGGUGGAUGCCCUGGCAGUCAGAGGCGAUGAAGGACGUGCUAAUCUGCGAAAAGCGUCGGUAAGGUGAUAUGAACCGUUAUAACCGGCGAUGUCCGAAUGGGGAAACCCAGUGCAAUUCGUUGCACUAUCGUUAACUGAAUACAUAGGUUAACGAGGCGAACCGGGGGAACUGAAACAUCUAAGUACCCCGAGGAAAAGAAAUCAACCGAGAUUCCCCCAGUAGCGGCGAGCGAACGGGGAGCAGCCCAGAGUCUGAAUCAGCUUGUGUGUUAGUGGAACGGUCUGGAAAGUCCGACGGUACAGGGUGAUAGUCCCGUACACCAAAAUGCACAGGUUGUGAACUCGAAGAGUAGGGCGGGACACGUGGUAUCCUGUCUGAAUAUGGGGGGACCAUCCUCCAAGGCUAAAUACUCCUGACUGACCGAUAGUGAACCAGUACCGUGAGGGAAAGGCGAAAAGAACCCCGGCGAGGGGAGUGAAAAAGAACCUGAAACCGUGUACGUACAAGCAGUGGGAGCACCUUCGGGUGUGACUGCGUACCUUUUGUAUAAUGGGUCAGCGACUUAUAUUCUGUAGCAAGGUUAACCGUAUAGGGGAGCCGCAGGGAAACCGAGUCUUAACUGGGCGUUAAGUUGCAGGGUAUAGACCCGAAACCCGGUGAUCUAGCCAUGGGCAGGUUGAAGGUUGGGUAACACUAACUGGAGGACCGAACCGACUAAUGUUGAAAAAUUAGCGGAUGACUUGUGGCUGGGGGUGAAAGGCCAAUCAAACCGGGAGAUAGCUGGUUCUCCCCGAAAGCUAUUUAGGUAGCGCCUCGUGAACUCAUCUUCGGGGGUAGAGCACUGUUUCGGCUAGGGGGUCAUCCCGACUUACCAACCCGAUGCAAACUACGAAUACCGAAGAAUGUUAUCACGGGAGACACACGGCGGGUGCUAACGUCCGUCGUGAAGAGGGAAACAACCCAGACCGCCAGCUAAGGUCCCAAAGUCAUGGUUAAGUGGGAAACGAUGUGGGAAGGCACAGACAGCCAGGAUGUUGGCUUAGAAGCAGCCAUCAUUUAAAGAAAGCGUAAUAGCUCACUGGUCGAGUCGGCCUGCGCGGAAGAUGUAACGGGGCUAAACCAUGCACCGAAGCUGCGGCAGCGACACUAUGUGUUGUUGGGUAGGGGAGCGUUCUGUAAGCCUGCGAAGGUGUGCUGUGAGGCAUGCUGGAGGUAUCAGAAGUGCGAAUGCUGACAUAAGUAACGAUAAAGCGGGUGAAAAGCCCGCUCGCCGGAAGACCAAGGGUUCCUGUCCAACGUUAAUCGGGGCAGGGUGAGUCGACCCCUAAGGCGAGGCCGAAAGGCGUAGUCGAUGGGAAACAGGUUAAUAUUCCUGUACUUGGUGUUACUGCGAAGGGGGGACGGAGAAGGCUAUGUUAGCCGGGCGACGGUUGUCCCGGUUUAAGCAUGUAGGCUG